ensembl:sense_intronic Gm43331 predicted gene 43331
AGGUCCACUCCAAGGCCGCUGCUGUCUUUGGUAGUGCUGACAGGGUACUGGGAUCUCCCCUGUAACUGGGCUGCACUUUCAUUAAUAGCCUCUCCUGGGAUCUCUUCAGUACUCUAAGCCGGCUUCAUGGUACCAAGCCUCAACUUCUCUCUAUGGGACUCUCUUCAAUUUGAGGCUUCUACUGCAACGGAGGGUUCACCUUCACAAGGGGCCUUUUUCAUAGUGCCAUGCUUCAGCAGUUCUCCAUAACCCCUUGAUGCCUUCAAAACUUUCUCAGCUUCAGCUAAAAGACAACCCAGAAAGCAAAGGUUUUUACUUGUGGUGUUGGUCUCUUUUAAUCACAGCUCCAGCUGAUGAGAGACUCCAGAUUUUUUUGUUUGUUUUUGAUAUAUAUAUGUAUGUAAUGUAUAUAUAGAUAUUCAUAUCUAUAUAUACAUAUACAUACAUACACAUACACACACACACACACACACACACAUAUUCAAGACAGGAUUUCUUUGUGUAGCCCUGGCUGUCGUGGAACUAGCUCUGUAGACCAGGCUGGCCUCAAACUCACAGAGAUCCAUCUGCCUUUGCCUGGCAUUAAAGGUGCACACUACCACCACCUUUAAAAAGACUACAGAUUCUUUUUCUUAAUUUAUAUUACUAGAGAUUCUUUUAUUUAUUUACAUUCUAAAUUUUGUCCCCUCUCUCAGCCCCCUUUGCAGAGUUCUUCCUCCCAUUCCUCUCACCUCUGAGAGCCCCGCCUCCAAAUCUUCCCCCUCCCUAAGGCAUCAAGUUUCUACAGGAUUAGGCACAUCCUCUCCCACUGAGGCCAGAAAAGGCAGUUCUCUACUAUAUAUGAGGGGGCCAGGGGAUGGGGUGAUGUGGAGUUGGUUCAGACCAUCCCAGGGGUUCAGGUUAGUUGACACUGUUGGUCUUCCUGUGGGGUUGCCAUUCCUUUCAGUUCCUUCAGUCUUUCCCCUAACUCUUCCAUAGGGGUCCCCAGACCUCAGUCCAGUGCUUGGCUGUGAGUAUCUACAUCUGUCUCAGUCAGCUGCUGGGAGAGCCUCUCAGAGGACAGCCAUGCUAAGCUCCUGUCUGCAAGUCCAGUAUAGCAUCAGUAAUAGUGUCAGGGUAUGGUGCCCACUCAUGAGAUGGAUCCCAAGUUGGACCUGUCACUGGUCAGCCAUUUGUUCACUCUUUGCUCCACUUUUGUCCCUGCAUUUCUUUUAGGAACAGUUUUGGGUCAGAAAAUUUGAAGGUGGGUUGGUGACCUCAUCCCUCCACAGGAGGCCCUGUCUAAUUACUGGAAGUGGUCUCUUGAGGUUCCAUAUCCCCACUGUUAGGCAUUUUGGCUAAGUAUCCAACAUAUAUAAAGAAUUCAAGAAGUUAGACUCAAAAAGCCAAAUAACUCAAUUAAAAAAUGGGGUACAGAGCUAAACAGAGAAUUCUCAACAGAGAAAUCUUGAAUGGCUGAGAAGUACUUAAAGAAAUGUUAAGCAUCCUUAGACAUCAGGGAAAUGUAAAUAAAAAUGACCCCGAGAUUCAACUUUAUACCAAUCAGAAUGGUUAAGAGCACUGACUGCUUUCCCAGAGGUCCUGAAUUCAAUUCCCAGCAACCACAUGGUGGUUCACAACCAUCUGUAAUGGGAUCUGAUGCCCUCUUUUGGUGUGUCUGAAGAUAGUGACAGUGCACUUACAAAUAUAAAAUACAUAAAU